rnacentral:lncRNA from 1 species
UGCCGAGCUUAUUUUUCAGCAGAGUCUAGGCUGUUUCGGGUUGUUGGGUGCCGCCCGGGUUGGCGGUGGACCCAGAUUCUUAUUUUGGUCCCAGAUUGUGCCGAGGGCACGUGGGUUUGGUUUGUAGACCUGUUUUGACCCUGUUUACAUGACUUUGGCUAGUUGGAGCCUGAUUGAGCUCGACAGAGAUACGCUGCAUACUCGGUUGGGUAGCUCCCACGAGUGCCACUCCGGAGGCGGGCGC